rnacentral:tRNA from 1 species
GCGGGAAUAGCUCAGUGGUAGAGCACCACCUUGCCAAGGUGGGGGUCGCGAGUUCGAAUCUCGUUUCCCGCU